rnacentral:rRNA from 1 species
UUUUUAUAAGGAUAACUACGGAAAAGCUGUAGCUAAUACUUGCUUUAGCACUCUUGAUUAAGUUCUUUNNUGUGUACUUGUUAAGCCUUUUAAGAAAANAGUNAUUAACUUAAGGAAUUAUAACAAAGAAGUAACACGUAAAUGGAUUUUCCAUUUUUUAGUGUGUAUCAAUCGAGUUUCUGACCUAUCAGCUUUUGAUGUUAGGGUAUUGGCCUAACAUGGCUAUGACGGGUAACGGGGAAUUAGAGUUCGAUUCCGGAGAGGGAGCCUGAGAAAUAGCUACCACAUCUAAGGAAGGCAGCAGGCGCGUAAAUUACCCAAUUCUAAAGAAGAGAGGUAGUGACAAGAAAUAACAAUACAAGGCCAAUCUGGCUUUGUAAUUGGAAUGAUGGGAAUUUAAAACCUUCCCAAAACUCAAUUGGAGGGCAAGUCUGGUGCCAGCAGCCGCGNUAAUUCCAGCUCCAAUAGCGUAUAUUAAAAUUGUUGCAGUUAAAACGCUCGUANUUGAAUUUCAAAGAAUCGAUAUUUUAAGUAACGCUUUGUAGCUUAAUCCACCAUAACUGAUACUACGUAUCGACUUUUGUGCGCAUUUUGCUACUUAUGUGUUCUUUUAAUUAAAAUGAUUCUUUUUAAGAUCUUUCUUUUUUUGCUUCNGNCAUUUAGGAGAUCUUUGUUACUUUGAGUAAAUUAGAGUGUUCAAAGMAAACAGAUUAUAGCAUCUUUUAUGCGUUUGAAUACUACAGCAUGGAAUAACAAAAAUUGAACAAGUCAGAAUUUUGUUCUUUUUUCNUAUUUUGGCUUAGUUACGAUUAAUAGGAGUAGCUUGGGGGCAUUUGUAUUCAGAUGUCAGAGGUGAAAUUCUUAGAUUUUCUGGAGACAAACAACUGCGAAAGCAUUUGCCUAAAAUACUUCCAUUAAUCAAGAACGAAAGUUAAGGGAGUGAAGACGAUCAGAUACCGUCGUAAUCUUAACCAUAAACUAUGCCGACUAGGCUUUGGAUGAAAGAUUUUAAAAUAAGAGUUUUUUCUCUGAGGAGUUAAAACUCUUAGAUUGCUUCCUUCAGUGCCUUAUGAGAAAUCAAAGUCUUUGGGUUCUGGGGCGAGUAUUCGCGCAAGCGAGAAAGUUAAAAGAAUUGACGGAAGGGCACCACCAGGCGUGGAGCUUGCGGCUUAAUUUGACUCAACACGGGAAAACUCACUAGUUUAAGACAAGAGUAGGAUUGACAGAUUAAUAGCUCUUUCUUGAUUUCUUGGAUGGUGAUGCAUGGCCGUUUUUAGUUCGUGAAUAUGAUUUGUCUGGUUAAUUCCGAUAACGAACGAGAUCUUAACCUGCUAAUUAGCGGCAAAUACGAUAUAUUCUUAUGUGGAAUUGAAUAUAGUUGAUUUGCUUAUUUUGAAGAAAAUAUUGGGAUAUGUAAAUGUAUCCCUUUCCCNAAUCUACUUAAUUUGCUUAUCAUACUAUUUCUUUUUCGCGUAAGAAUGUAUUUGCUUGAUUGUAAAGCUUCUUAGAGNCANG